rnacentral:misc_RNA from 1 species
GUGCCUGCCGCUAGUCUCCCCGUCUCAUCUUGCACCCCCGGAGAGAGUCCUGCGUCAAGGUAUGCGAGCUGCCCACUGUCUUGGAGCAAUCCAGCGACGAUGAAGUCUCGCCCACCACCUCCCCUACGCUGCAGCAGACCUACGCCCACGACCUGUACACGGAAUACGAAAUGCCCGCGCCCUCGACUUUCCUUACGCCCACCAGCCCCACCACGGAGCCGCCCAUUUGGCCACAGAGUGUUGGAGACUUGAUCUGCAAUCAGUAUGAACAGCUAUCCAAAGAACACCAAGAACUCCAGAAGUCCUACCAAUUACUGGUAUCUACCUCUUCAGCCAGCUCCCCUGCAGUUGAUCUUAAUGGUAAAGAAGGUCCCAGUGAGUGGUGGUCAGCAGCUCGUGUGAUGGAGCUGGAAGCACAAGUUUCAACGCUGAAGGCAGAGUUGCAGGAGUCCAGGGAUCAUGCUGACCUUUUGGAGUUCCGCAUAUUGGAGUUCACCGAGGAAGAUAGGGUAAGUGACGAUUGCAUCAGAGGAAUCAGGUCGUGCAGCCAUGCUUCUGACGCAGGCUCGUCUCCGCAAACGUGUGACCAGUCGACGGCCACCGAUCUGGAUGACGUCAGCAUUCCAGCGACCAAUGAGGACUUGUCUCUUCCUCUCUCGAUAGAUUCCGGUCUUGAUCUUUCCAGCGAUUAUAAGAAGGCGCGCGUGACGGAGGGGCGGGCGUGGCUGGCGCAGCUGUCCCGCGCGACGGGCGAGGCGGAGGUCGCGGCUCUUCACCACCUCGCCGCCCUCCUCGACUGGGUGGCCGCCCUGCCCGCCCACGCGCACCAUGCUCUGUCCUCGCCCAUGAGCCCCACGCUGGCCACCCCCACGCUCACACCCAAGACCAAGAUGGGCGUGGAAGAACUGGGUGGUGACCUAGGGCGGGACCUGAUGCUGCUGGCCGCCCGCCUGCAGGAGACGUUGACGGAGCCCGCCGCGCAGGAGGCCGUCCUGCUCGACACCAUCGCGAAGUUACGGGUGCUGGACUCUUCGCUGUCGGAACUGCAGUCGCGUGUCGUAACGCUGACGGAAGAGAACCGGGAGCUGCAGGAGGCGGUGACGAGCCUGAGCGAGGCGCACGAGACGCGCACGGAAGCCUCGGGUACGGAGAGCGAGCUGGUGCACCGCAAGACGCCCUCCAUCCACUCCGACCUCAGCGACUCCGAGAGCGACGCCCCCGAGCACGCGCAGCACGGGAGCGUGAAGCUGGUGAAUUCCCUGGACGCCUCGACGUCCUUGGACGCCACGACCAGCUUCCAGGAGUCAGGCAUCUUCGACACGUCAUGCGAGUUGGUGCAUGUGACUACGCAGACCGACCUGUCCCAGGGCGGCCCGCUGCCUCCCCCCGGCCAUGAGCUGAAAAUGAAGUCAGAAUGCGACCUGCAGCAGGCGGAGAGCGACCUGCAGAGCGCGGUGGCGCGCCUGGCCGCCAUCCGCUCGGCCGUGCAAGGGCGCGACCUGCGCCACCUCAGGCUGCAGGACCUCCAGGAGAGCGACGAGUACCUGAAGGCGGCCCUCGACGAAGAGCGGGUUAUCCUCAGCAAGGCGGAGUAUGGCAGCUUCGUGGAGGGCGAGCGGCGUCUUCAACACGAACUUGAGCAUCUCAAGUGCGAGAAAGAGCAUUUGAGCGUCGAGUGUGAGUCGCUCAAGAACCAGAUCACGUCGCUCAGGACCGGUGUCCGCGGCAGCGAUGCGGAGGAGGCAAUGAAGGGCGAGAUCCGGGUGCUGAAGCAGCGCCUGGCGUCCUCGGAGAGAGCUCGGCUGGAGGUGUUCGAGGAGAAGUGCGAGCUGGAGGAGGAGGAGAAUGACUCGAGGCUGAUGGUGCAGAGGCUGGAGUCCCAGAUGGAGGCCGCGAGGGAGAUGGAGAACCUGCUGAGCGCGUCGUUGGCCCAGGAACAAGAAAUCUCCAGGGAGCUGCAUCGCCGUGUCAGGGAUCUCCAGAUCCUGGAGAAGGAUUACCGCGGCCGCCUUGACAAGCUGGAGACCGUAACCCGCAGGACGGAAGAGAAAGCUUCGGCCUUGGCUCAGGCCCGAGACGCCCUGUCGCAGCAGCUGUCGUUCGCGGCGUGGGGUCUCGUGGCCGCCGAGUACUGGCGCCAGCUGGUGCCACAGCCGUCCGCUGCCCUCGUCCCGUACAGCGGCAACACGCUUAAAGUGUCUCCCGCAACCUACCCCACGAAGCCCUUCCUGGAAGGGCGUAUAUUUAAGAGGGAACGCGACCCUCGAGAAGCCGAUAAUGAUGUGUAUGUGUGUCCCCCCGUUGUGUGUGAUGUCUGUGUUCAGACUUGUCCUAACGUCAUGGCCGAUGUCGGCGUCCAGACCCAAACGAAGCAUUAUGCGGAUGUUCAGCAUGGUAGAGAUCCAGCGCAGCCGGUAGGAGGGUCCGAGGAGGAGCCGUUCGAGUCCGCCAGGAAGAGGGCGAGGCACGUAGACACCAGGACCCAGGCCACCAUGACGCUGGAUAGCACAGGACCCACGGAGCGAGAACAGUUCUACCUGGAGCAGAUUGAGUCUCUGCAGAAGGAAAAGAUGAACUUACGCAAGGGUCACGACAACGAAAGGCGUGACUCUUUGCAGCAGCACAAUGACAUGGAGGAAGAGAUCGAAGCAGUGAGACAACAGCUGGAGGAGGCUGAACGCGACAAGUGCCACCUAUUGUUCCGUCUUGAAGAAGCUCAGGAUGAGCGAGAAGAAGUCAAGAAGAAUUUGCUAGUCAGAAUAGAGGAGCUGAAGGGAGACAUGUCCCGCUACAACGACCUGUACGAGCUAGAGAAGAAGGCCCUUCGCCGGGAGUACGAGGCUCGACUCGCCGAGCAGGAGAAGGAGCGCGGUCGCCAGGACGAUCGGAUGCGCCAGCUCGAGCACCAGCUGUCCACCUUCAGGCAGGAACUGGAGAUCGUUGGUGUUUCCGUCGCUGGGGAUUUCGUCGAGUAUGACAAUGUUCUCAACUCGGGCAGAAGACCGCCCACGAGAUUAGGGGAGAACGACGGAGAACUUGUGGAGAAGAUCAGGGAGCUGGUCAAGUCAGAGACCUCUCUGAGACAGAAGAUCUGUGAUCUGGAGAAAAAGGAGUGUGCCUAUCGCGAGACCAUCCGUGAAGCAGACAAGAUCAUGUCCAGCCAUGUCACCUCCUACAAGCAAAGGAUAGAAGAGCUCGAGGCCUCGAUGGAGCAACAGACCUCCAAGAUCCAACAGCUGGAGACGUCCGAGGAGCGCCUCAGAGCCAACCUGAGGAACAACUCCAGGUCAAGCGACGGUGCUCGAAUCUCCGACCUCCUGGACCGUCUGAUCGAAACGGAGAACUCGGAAUUGAAGCUGAAGGAGCGGGUGUGGGGCCUCGAGAGGAGUGAAAAAGAGCUGCAGAUCAAGUUAAUGGAAGGCGAGAAGGCAAACCAGUCUUUGAGAGCAGAAUUGCGAGACCAAGAGGAGCUGGUUCAUCGUCUUAUGACGCUGGAAACAGAAAACAAUGCGCUUUCUGCAGAGAUCAGCCAGGCCAAAGACUCCGCCCGCAAGAUGAGCGAGGUGCAGCAGAACGAGAGUUACCUCCGAGGCCGAGUCGAGGAGCUGGAGAUGACCGAGAACAUGCUUCGCGAGACCCUCCAGCAGGCUGAUCAGAUUCUAGCUCAGAGAGAGAAGAAGCUCAGAGACCAGGUGUCAUCCCUUCAAGAGGAGGUUCAGUCAUACAAGGCCCAGCUAGAGUCUGCGGCGUCUAAGGAACAUGGUGCUAGAGAAUGUGAGGUAUCUUACAAGAAACAACUGGAGGAGUUGAGAGCCCGACUAGCUGAGACGGAACGUCAGCUGAGAGAGUCUUCAUCCGAGACAAACAGUCAGGAGACCCAGCACCGUUCAGAGGUUACAAAACUUCGUAAUCAGCUAAAAUUAGGGAACUCACAGCUUAAUGAGCUUGAGAGGCUCAACUGUGAGCUGCGUGACCGGGUGCUGGCAGCAGAGGCGCAGGGUGAACAAUUAGCGAAAGAGUUGGAAGAACAGUGCCGUCGGUAUGAACAAGAUCUUCUUACUCUUAACCUCCAGGUAUCAGCUGGGGAAAGUCAUGUUAAGGAGCUACAGGGCCAGCUAGAACAGCUGAGCCAUGAACAUGCUGCUAGUGAGCUGGACGUCCUGGCUGCCUCACCUAUAGCUCCGCUUUAUGCUACCAUUACUUCCCUAAUAACUGCCCUCAAGAGCUGUGAGUUCUGCAGUGAGACCCAGAAGAGCACGUUGGCCGAGGUGACCGCUCAGCUUGGCACUUUGGCAGAGCUGCUCGAGGGCAGGGCCAGUAACUCCGACACGGACGUAACCUUAGAGAGUGAUGAGGGAGAAACAUUCAUCACAGACACAGCAGAAAACUUGGCCGACGAAGCCACUACGACCCCCCCUCCCACCCCCGCCGGGGAGGGGCUUCGGGAACACUCGAGCGGGGACGCCACCAACUGCGACUCGGGCGCGAGCUUCCAGAGAACCAAGCGCCGGAGGAGCAGAAGGCGGUUGGAGGAGCGCAGCAGCAGAAGGCUCGUGCGCCCUCAAGGCUCCUCCACGAUCUUGGAGGAGUUGGAGGAGAAGGUUCGGGAACUGGAGGAGGCGAUAGGACGGAAGGAGGAGGAGCUUCGACUGGCUGACAACGAGGCCAGCGAACUCAACCAACAGCUGCAGUCUCGGGAUGCUGUCCUCACACUCAAGAGUGAAGAGGUGGAGCAUCUCAAUAGUACUCUGGCGAGUCUCCGGCAGCAGCUCAUGCAAACCGUGGAGGACUACGAGCGUGCAAGGAUGUCCUUGCAAGCGAAGCACAAGGUUGACCUGGAAGAGUUAACGCAGCGGAUGGAGCAGCUGACAAAGGAGGCUGAGGACUUAGCUGCCAGAGGAAAACUAAAGGACAGCAUAAUCUCCACUCUCGCUUCUCAGAUCCGAGCCAUUCUCAGAUCAGGUAAUAUGAGUGUAGUCAUCAACCAGCUGCGUCGCCUAGGAGAGGGUGACCCAUGUGGGGAUUCACCAGCUGAGGGCACACAGGGUCACCCGCCCACCACCAGCCCGAUGCCCACUGUGCCGGACUUCGAUGUUGAUGCUGUCUGCUCAUUCCUCAGUCAACCCAAUGAGGACUUGAAAAUCUAAAGAUAUGGAAUUCGGCGUGAACGUGAGACAGAUAGAGCCUAUUGCCUCUCCUCAGAGAAGAUGGCUUACUUGUCUCAGUCCGCCAUCUCGAACGGGACGGAGCUAUCUAGUCACGUGACCCUGCAGUCUGAUGUCUCUUUAGCUCUCUCUGCGACAGAGCUCAGUGGUCGCGUGACCUGCCACGGCUCUUCUUCAUUGGCUCAACGUAGAAAGUCUCGCAUACCACGAUACAUGCCCUCUUCUGUGCCCAGUGCAAAACCCGCAUCUAAGCCCGUGCGUAUGGUUAAGCCCGAUGUUGUGCCUGAGCAGUCAAUUAAACCAGC